AUUGAACGCUGGCGGCAGGCCUAACACAUGCAAGUCGAGCGGAUGAAGGGAGCUUGCUCCUGGGUCCAGCGGCGGACGGGUGAGUAAUGCCUAGGAAUCUGCCUAGUAGUGGGGGAUAACGUCCGGAAACGGGCGCUAAUACCGCAUACGUCCUGAGGGAGAAAGUGGGGGAUCUUCGGACCUCACGCUAUCAGAUGAGCCUAGGUCGGAUUAGCUAGUUGGUGGGGUAAAGGCCUACCAAGGCGACGAUCCGUAACUGGUCUGAGAGGAUGAUCAGUCACACUGGAACUGAGACACGGUCCAGACUCCUACGGGAGGCAGCAGUGGGGAAUAUUGGACAAUGGGCGAAAGCCUGAUCCAGCCAUGCCGCGUGUGUGAAGAAGGUCUUCGGAUUGUAAAGCACUUUAAGUUGGGAGGAAGGGCAGUAAGUUAAUACCUUGCUGUUUUGACGUUACCAACAGAAUAAGCACCGGCUAACUUCGUG
rnacentral:rRNA from 1 species